rnacentral:rRNA from 1 species
UACAGAGGGGGCAAGCGUUGUUCGGAAUUACUGGGCGUAAAGGGCGCGUAGGCGGCCUGUUAAGUCGAACGUGAAAUCCCCGGGCUCAACCCGGGAACUGCGUCCGAUACUGGCAGGCUUGAAUCCGGGAGAGGGAUGCGGAAUUCCAGGUGUAGCGGUGAAAUGCGUAGAUAUCUGGAGGAACACCGGUGGCGAAGGCGGGUCUCUGGGCAACAACUGACGCUGAGGAGCGAAAGCGUGGGGAGCGAACAGG